GACGAACGCUGGCGGCGUGCCUAAUACAUGCAAGUCGAGCGAAUCUUUUGGGAGCUUGCUCCCGAAAGAUUAGCGGCGGACGGGUGAGUAACACGUGGGCAACCUGCCUAUAAGACUGGGAUAACUUCGGGAAACCGGAGCUAAUACCGGAUACGUUCUUUUCUCGCAUGAGAGAAGAUGGAAAGACGGUCUCGGCUGUCACUUAUAGAUGGGCCCGCGGCGCAUUAGCUAGUUGGUGGGGUAAUGGCUCACCAAGGCGACGAUGCGUAGCCGACCUGAGAGGGUGAUCGGCCACACUGGGACUGAGACACGGCCCAGACUCCUACGGGAAGCAGCAGUAGGGAAUCUUCCGCAAUGGACGAAAGUCUGACGGAGCAACGCCGCGUGAACGAAGAAGGCCUUCGGGUCGUAAAGUUCUGUUGUUAGGGAAGAACAAGUACCAGAGUAACUGCUGGUACCUUGACGGUACCUAACCAGAAAGCCACGGCUAACUACGUGCCAGCCGCCGCCGUAAUAC
rnacentral:rRNA from 1 species